rnacentral:rRNA from 1 species
UCAAGUAAGACUACCCGCUGAACUUAAGCAUAU